AUGGGCAAAAGAGCCAUCCGAUACGCCGUGGUGGAUGCCUUCGCGGCUGAGCCCUUCAAGGGCAACCCCGCCGCAGUAUGCCUCCUCGAAGAGGAGGGCGCCUCCGCGGCCAUGGACGACCGGUGGAUGCAGUCCGUCGCCGCCGAGUUCAACCUCUCGGAGACCGCCUUCCUCGCCCGGGACUCCUCCGGGGGAGCCGGCGCAGCCCCGCGGUUCCACCUCCGAUGGUUCACUCCCGUCACGGAGGUUGACCUCUGCGGGCACGCGACGUUGGCCUCUGCGCACUUCCUCUUCACGACUGUUCUUCCGGAGCAUGGCAAGCUGGAGUUCAUGACCAGGUCCGGGAUCCUAACUGCCAAGAAAGUCCCUGCACCAGGGAGCACUGGCGUCCCAGGUGAGGAGCAGGGGAAGCUGUUUAUUGAGCUGGAUUUCCCCAUGAUUGGUUUUCUGGACUGCAACCAAAUGCCGUCGAUUCCAGAGACCCUAAACGGUGCGCCCAUUGUCAGCGUUCACAAAUCGGCUACCGACGGCGACCUCAUUGUGGAACUUUCUUCAGGAAAAGAAGUUGUUAAUAUCCUUCCUAGCAUCGAUGAAAUUAAAAACUUGGCCUGCAGGGGUCUUAUUGUUACAGGACCGGCGCCGGCUGGAUCUGGUUAUGACUUCUUUACACGUUUCUUCUGCCCAAAAUUUGGGAUAGAUGAGGACCCUGUUACGGGCAGUAUACAUUGUGUUUUGGCACCCUAUUGGGGCAGAAAGCUGGGGAAGCAAAAAUUGACGGCAUUUCAAGCGUCUCCAAGGGGUGGAACACUAUACCUGCAACUGGAUGACGCAAAUCAGAGAGUGCAAAUCCAGGGAGAAGCUCUUACUGUGAUGGAUGGGACGCUCCUAGCCUAG
rnacentral:rRNA from 1 species